rnacentral:rRNA from 1 species
ACUACCAAACCCCUGUGAACAUACCACUUGUUGCCUCGGCGGAUCAGCCCGCUCCCGGUAAAACGGGACGGCCCGCCAGAGGACCCCUAAACUCUGUUUCUAUAUGUAACUUCUGAGUAAAACCAUAAAUAAAUCAAAACUUUCAACAACGGAUCUCUUGGUUCUGGCAUCGAUGAAGAACGCAGCAAAAUGCGAUAAGUAAUGUGAAUUGCAGAAUUCAGUGAAUCAUCGAAUCUUUGAACGCACAUUGCGCCCGCCAGUAUUCUGGCGGGCAUGCCUGUUCGAGCGUCAUUUCAACCCUCAAGCACAGCUUGGUGUUGGGACUCGCGUUAAUUCGCGUUCCCCAAAUUGAUUGGCGGUCACGUCGAGCUUCCAUAGCGUAGUAGUAAAACCCUCGUUACUGGUAAUCGUCGCGGCCACGCCGUUAAACCCCAACUUCUGAAUGUUGACCUCGGAUCAGGUAGGAAUACCCGC